rnacentral:lncRNA from 1 species
CUGAAAGGGAAUAAUUCAAAAUGCUUUCUAUUUCUGUUAUGAGAUCCAGUUUUCAUUCUUGUAGAUCAGCCAUCUCAAUCCCAUUUUCCUCCAGGCGAUCGAAUGUUUCUGUGGAUGUGACCAUCAGUAUAGAGUGAUUGAGUAGAUAACCCUAUAAAAUGCAGUAAUGUGAUACAGGACUUGAAAAAUUAUUGCACCUAACUUGCAUAUAGAUAUUUGGAGAUUAAUUAUAUGUUUUAUAAUUCCAGUACUGAGUGUCCUUAAAUUCUGCCACAAAGGUCUUUAAAUAUUUAGUUUAUUAAAUAUGCAGUUCUUGUUUUUAGCCAUCUGGGAGGAUUUUUUGACCAUCUGUUUGAGCUUUCCCUUCUGUGUCAUAAAUUUAGGAAAUCCUGAAGGUUUGCAUUCUUCUCUAUUUGAUGAAUUCUACUUAGACUUUUCCCCAAGCUUUUGGUGACUUUUUUUGAAAAUAUGAAUAUCUGGUAUAAAUUGG